GGAACGUGGUAAUUAACGGGAUGAAAGAGGAGAUUCAGCUGUUUCCUCCCGAGGCGAGGAGUUGCUACGUUUCGCGUGCAGAUGGAGCAUUGGAGAAAGUGGAAAGACGCAAGGAAGAAAAGGGAAUAAGAGGUAGGGAACGAGGGAUUACGAGGAGUGGCUAAGGGAGCUGGAAAGAGACGAAGGAAACGAGAGAGAGAGCAUAAUCAAAGAGCUUCGAAAAAUCAGGAUGCACUUAGAAGCACGUACUCGGCCUAUAGAGAGGCAUUCAGUUAUACUGGUGAGUUUGGAGUCAAAGCAAGGACCCUUGCCUCAGCCGGCGCAUUACCUCUGCUGCUCUCGUCGUCGUCUAUGCCCCGCGUUUAUAUCCACCAGCUACCUUUUCCUCGGUAACCACCACCUCGUUCUAUGUAUUUACGAUCACCGGAUUCAACCAGCCUUUCCUUUCAGCGAACCAACAUCGACGAGAUUAGAAAGCAAACGUAUGUCAUGAUUUUUGGACGAGCCAUCGUUACAAAGAACGGCGAGACACGACUUUCUUUUCAUCAUUAAACUCCAAAAUGAAUACGAUUAUCUCAGUGAUGAGAUAUCAGGGGAUGUUCUUAUCAGAAAACCUUAUCAGCCAAAUUCCUUUCUUUUUUCAACGAGCCGAGUCGAUUGACACCUUCGAAAGGAUCGGUUCCUAUAAGAGAUGGACAUUGUUCUUGAAAAUAAAAAAAGAGUAUCGGUACACGUGGUUAAACGUACCAGCCAAGAACCUGAAGAGCACUGAUAAUCGACAAGUAUCGUUUCAAUGUCGCGGAGAAAACAGUGGCAGAAGAAAAAACAAUCACGCUUCCCUGUCUGUUCGGUUGGGCGUCGAAAAGUCGCGUUGAAGAGUCUUUGGUCCUGGUUGGAGGAUCGUGAUUAGGCGAUAUCGAGUCCUAUACGCGAUCACUCGACGACCGAGUAGAUUGAAGAGGAGGGUAGAAAAGGAAUCAGAGAAGGUGGAGGAGGAGGAGCACGCGAGUAAGUAGGAAGGAGGUCGCGGGACGACACCGAUGGAUCCCUGAAAAGCGUUGAAAAGCUGGCUACUCGACUUUUGUAACGGAGUUAAGAAGAAAGAAGAGAAAGAGAAGAGGCAGAAGGACGCGUAAACCGCAGGAAGGAAGAAACGCUCCUCUUUCUGAUACUGUGAAAUAUUUCUGAUGCCGUUCAAAUCAAAAGGGAUACUUAGGCGUUUGAUCUUAGCUGAGACACCCUGUACGCGAUCGCAAGUCCCAUCAGGAUGUACUCUUGCAAAGGGAACCGUCGUCUCCUUCAAAUGCUACACCAAGAGGGAUAUCGUCCUCUCUGCCAACCCUCUUUCACCUCGUUCGCCAUCUUCUCUCUUUCUCUCCCUCUGCUACUUCUGUCCCUCGUUUUCUUCGUAUCCUCGGGACAACGCGUGUGAGUGUGCGUGGAUGUCGUCUCUGUUCCCCCUGUGUUCCAGCCGUUCUUCAGGGGGGUUCUGUGUGCCGCGAGAGACUUUCGUACGGAUUGCGAAAUCAAGGGCUCUUCCGAGGGCUCUGAAGAGCACGGGCGUGAGAGAAGCCGCCAGGUUUUCCGGCCGAGGCGGCGAUCAACGAACGAUCCAUCCUUCUUUCGAAGAAGUCAAAUCGGCCAGGAAAUGGAUUCUAAUCGGACAAACGACACAGAACGAUAUCCAAAUUUCCGGCUUGACCGCGAAAUUCGAGACCGCAUCCCCCGAGGAAAUUCCGAAGGAGUCGGUGAAGAGAAUUCCAGGCUGGACGAUCGGUCCUCGAAAGCAGUGAAAUCGGAUCCUUCGGGGGCGGGUAGAUGGGUCAACAAGUCGGCACGUCGAAAACGAGAUCACUUUGAGGGAGGAACACGGGGGCACAAGGUAGCCGAACAUUCGAAACCUGAUACUUUCCGCAGGAAUCAAAACGUGUCAUGGAUCCGACCACUUAGGACCGGCAUUCGGACGUUCACACUUCCGAUCAGGAAUGAAAAGGAAGAAAGGGAUUGUUUUGGGCACUGCCAUCCUGAAUUCUACUAAGCUUAUGGAACAUGAAAUAUCGUUAAAAUUUCAAUUCUACUGUCCUAUUCAUGAAAAAUCACUGAAAGGUUCGAACAAACGGUUGAGAAAAGAGUUUACCCUGAUCCAAGAGGGUGCAAAGCCGAAGGAACCGGCAGGACUAGUAAAAAAAAAAAACCACGAGUACGGCGCCUGUUAAAAUCCGAUUCGACGGAUGAUCCUCACCAAUGACUACGGAAAGGCACAAUAGAGGAGAUUGAAAGAGGAAAAGAGGAACGAUCGGAGAAGGAAGAGAGGGUGGCGGGUUCGUUCUCUUUCUCUUGCCAGAAUCGUUGUUCCCUCACUUCGCGCGGAAAUGAGGUGGAAAACCGCACCCUCGGGACCUCGACUCACCUUUUCUUUGCGUUUACCGGGAUACUAACCGCGGAUUUCUCCGCUCCUGCGGUUUCUUGAUAUUACAAACGCGCGUAGAAUAGCGCCGAGCGGGUUCUCGAGAUCAGUCGAGCGCGAAGAAAUCGUGUGCCAAGGGAAAAAAGAAGAAAUGAAUUGAAAAAAAGAGAAAGAGGGAAUACGAAAGCCUCGUUCCGAAGCUGGAAAAAAUAUCGACUAGUUAAAGCUGCGUAUACAUUUGUUACUUAGUCUUGUCACUGACAAGAAAGUGGAGAAAAAUCGAUCAGUAUUUCUGCGGUCAAAAUGUGUUAAAAAGGGGGAAAAAAUAUUAUUUCUUUUUUUCUUGUUUCAGGUGAUAAAGGGUAAUCGAUGAUCGAUAAACUUAUUCCAUGGUGUUGUCUUUUCUAGAAGAAGCCACGAUGCAUCAUCCAACAUGGAAUAAUGGUGCGUACGCAAGGCAGGGAGGCAAGAGCUCGUCGUCAUCUCUGAAUUAAUCUCAUUCGACUGCCCCCUUUAUGUUCUCCCUCGCAUCCUGCGGCGUGCCUCCUAGCCGUUUCGUGGCUUCAAGGUUAAUUGGAAUGAAAACGAAGAAAGGAAAAGGAGCAUAAGUUUCUGGAGGGCACCGGACAGAAUCCCACGACAACGCCACUUUUCUUCCCUUAACCCAGCAUCGAGACCCCCAUUCAUGCCGCUUUCGAGUAAACUACAAGGGAAAGAAAAUAAGUCUAAAGAGAAGAAAAUUGAGGGUUACGGCACAGGUGAAUCGAUGAUCAUCCCCCGACAAAACAGAAUACCUUUCUUUCCUCGACGGACCUGUGUCUAGGAUAUGCGCACCAUUUACUUUUAUGUGGCAUUACGUGAAAGAGCCUCGAGGAACAUCCAUUCAGAUCAUCCCCUAAAUCUGGUCGAGAAAAAGAAGAAAGAAAAAUUCUCUUCUCCUUACUCGGAGACGUGAUUCGAACAGACACACGAAGAUCCUCGACUCUUAAAUCAUCCCGGAAAUCAACUUAAAUUAACAUUUACAAUGGUUAAAUUACUACCAAAGAAAAGCCAAGCUGAUAUCUGAUCGCGAUUUCAAUUAAAAACGAAGUCGAUGGGCUGAUAAUAUCGAUCUCGUAAAGGGAACGGGGUGGCUGGUUGGUUUGGCUUUAAGUAAAAGUCCAAACGAAUCGACCCUUGCCCCCAUCGUGGUAGCCGUAGGGUAGGAGGCCUUUCUAUUAGCCACUAGAAAUCGCACGAACCCUUCACAGGGACAAAUCGAAGCGACGUGCAAGACCGGCCUGGCCCUUCGACUCUAAUGGAGUUUCACGCUUGCCGAGAGAGAAUUGGCCCGAAAUCGGGGAGCGACGGAGGAUCCUGCAGGAUCAGCGAGCUGGUCAACCGAAGAAUUGAUAAUCAAAGCGAUCCUGUUGGCGAUCUAUUUCUCUUAACGAGUUUAACCAAGGUAUAAAAUCGAGAAAUUUCUCAGUUGCGCGAUCCUCUCGAGAGUGGCGGCGUGGCAAGCAGGAAAAGAGUAAAAAGGAAAUUAAGGUGGACAGGGUAGAGGGUAGAUUUAAUCGCGCUAUUUUUUCCGCGAGAAGCACGAGCCACGUAAGUCGAGUUGAAACGUUCGUCGGAGGUGUCGGCGAGCCGCGGUUCCUUCUGUGUACCGCUAAGAAAUCGUGAAACGGGUUGAGGAUGCGUGGAGUGUAAAAGGGGUGAGAGAGCGACUCGACGUCGAGAGGGAUCCGCCCUCCGGUGAAGGGUCCAGGCCAGUAGACAGUCUCACUAAUUACGCCGCGCCUCAUUAGCGUGGAAGCCUGGCAAGUCGCUUAAGGACACGUACGACGACGACGACUCUUCUUCGGUUUCGUCAAAGAUACGGAUACUUUUUUCCCUUUUUCAUUCUUUCUCGAGGAGGACACAGAGAGGGGAAAAAAGGGGUGGUCUUUGCCCGUGACUCUCUCCUCGACUCGCUGACGGAAUAGGAAAAAAAAAAUAUUAGCAAUGAGAGAAAUCCUCUUGUUGAAGCAAGAGUUUCCACGAGAGGAACGGGUCUUCCGUGUAUCAAGGUGUUUUUUCAUAGGUAUUAAUUAACAGAACGAAACAAGAAUUUUUAUUUUCACAGGGAUUACGACAAUAGUGGUGUACAUUGCCGAAUGUGGUUUCGAGCCGGUUGGUUUUCGAAGGCGGGAAGGCCGAUUUAGAGCACAAUGCGGUUCAAUGCCGAGGAAAUUAGCCACGGCGCUGCCGGUGACGCCCGUCAGACCCACACGAUCGAAAACAGACCGUGUCUACGUCCGCGGACCAUGGGGACGAGUACAACUGUCUUUCAGAUGAAGAAGAAGGCUUUGAAGCUGUACAGGCCAAAGAGACCCGGCACGGGCAUCAUCGAGUGUCUGAAGAGAUCGCGAGGACAAGUUCACCUAUGCUCUCGAAGAUGAAUGGAUCCUAUAGUUAAUGGGGAGGCUGUAUCGCAGGUAGACAUACGUGGAAUGAAUAGACGAGGGUGAACGAGCAUUUAGAGAAGAAGCCUCUGUUCUCUCCUAUCCCCCCCCUUUCACCCUACCCUAUCAUCCACCAGGCUUUGUU